GAUGAACGCUGGCGGCGUGCCUAAUACAUGCAAGUCGAGCGAACGGACGAGAAGCUUGCUUCUCUGAUGUUAGCGGCGGACGGGUGAGUAACACGUGGAUAACCUACCUAUAAGACUGGGAUAACUUCGGGAAACCGGAGCUAAUACCGGAUAAUAUUUUGAACCGCAUGGUUCAAAAGUGAAAGACGGUCUUGCUGUCACUUAUAGAUGGAUCCGCGCUGCAUUAGCUAGUUGGUAAGGUAACGGCUUACCAAGGCAACGAUGCAUAGCCGACCUGAGAGGGUGAUCGGCCACAAUAGAACUGAGACACGGUCCAGACUCCUACGGGAGGCAGCAGUAGGGAAUCUUCCGCAAUGGGCGAAAGCCUGACGGAGCAACGCCGCGUGAGUGAUGAAGGUCUUCGGAUCGUAAAACUCUGUUAUUAGGGAAGAACAUAUGUGUAAGUAACUGUGCACAUCUUGACGGUACCUAAUCAGAAAGCCACGGCUAACUACGUG
rnacentral:rRNA from 1 species